GACGAACCGUGCGACCGUUGUUCGGAAUCACUGGGCUUAAAGGGCGCGUAGGCGGGCUGCCAAGUCUGGGGUGAAAUCCUCCGGCUCAACCGGAGAACGGCCUGGGAUACUGGCGGCCUUGAGGGAGGUAGGGGCAUGCGGAACUAUGCGUGGAGCGGUGAAAUGCGUUGAUAUGCAUAGGAACUCCGGUGGCGAAGGCGGCGUGCUGGACCUCUUCUGACGCUGAGGCGCGAAAGCCAGGGGAGCGAACGGG
rnacentral:rRNA from 1 species